rnacentral:lncRNA from 1 species
UUUUAAAAAUAAUUCACAGUAUUUAAAAAUUAAUUUUAGUUAUAUAAGUUUUAUAGUUAUUAAAUAAUCACUGGAAUGUAUGCUAUUGUGGUUUUUGACAACGAGAUGAAAACUGAAUACAUUCCUUUCAAUUGGAUAAUCAAUAAAAUUGAACUUCAAGAAGUUUCAAUGUUGGUUAGGCAGCGUAUAGAAUUAAAAUGCUACUGGCCUCCAUGGUCAAAUUCAGGCAAAGUCAGUAAAGCACAAAAGCAGUGCUCUGAACCUGAAAUAGAUUGGAAAACAUACUCUAUUCGAUUGUUAGCAGUUGCAGGUAAUGAGAAAGAAGCAUGUAAAAGGUGACAAUUGCAGAAGAGACCUCUAAUGUCGAAGAGAACUUUACUAAGCAAAAAAGAAAAGUCAAAGAAGAUUUAAUUGAAAGUACUGAUUCAGAAAGUAAAUACAGCAAUAGAAGAAAGAAAAAAAAGAUAUCUGAAAAGCUUCCUAAGCCUGGGUUUGUCAUUUUGAGAUUGAAAACAGUGGAUUGUUAACUCCUGUGGUACGCACAGAAUCGUCAGAAAAGGAAGUUCAGCACAGACAAAAUAAAACUUUUGAUUUACAGUCAGAAAGUGUUGUAAAGUCAAAAGAUAUGUCUGGUCUUCCUGGUAACACAAGUACUCCAUUGUUAAAAACGUUUGGUUACACUACAUCUG